rnacentral:rRNA from 1 species
GACGAACGCUGGCGGCGCGCUUAACACAUGCAAGUCGAACGGACAGGCCUGCUUUCCCUUGUGCAUUGCGGGUACUCGAGUGGCGAACGGGUGAGUAACACGUGAGUGAUCUGCCCCCAACUUGGGUAUAAGCCUGGGAAACUGGGUCUAAUUCUCGAUAGGACUGCAGGGUGGUGCCUUUGGUGGAAAACGUUUUUCUAGUGGUUGGGGAUGAGCUCGCGGCCUAUCAGCUUGUUGGUGGGGUAAUGGCCGACCAAGGCGGCGACGGGUAGCCGGCCUGAGAGGGUGGACGGCGACAUUGGGACUGAGUUACGGCCCAGACUCGUACGAGAGGCAGCGGUGGGGAAUAUUGGACAAUGGGCGGAAGCCUGAUGCAGCGACGGAGCGUGGAGGAUGACGGCCUUCGGGUUGUAAGCUCCUUUCGACCGCGAGGAAGCCACCUGGUUGGGAGGGUGGUGACGGUAGUGGUAGAAGAAGCACCGGCUAACUACGUG